rnacentral:snRNA from 1 species
AAAUUUGUGCAGUGGCAGUAUCGUAGCCCAUGAAAUUAAACCGAGGCGUGAUUAUUGCUAGUUGAAAACUUUACCCAAUACCUAGAAAAUUCAUGGAUUAAAUUUCUAGGCAAUAUGGCUAAACAU